CCCAGUGUGGUGCAAAUGGUUAACAUGCUUGGCUGCUAACCAAAAAGUUGGAGGUUCAAAUCCACCCAGAGGUG
rnacentral:tRNA from 1 species